rnacentral:rRNA from 1 species
CUUUACUGUAGCCUGGAAUUGGGUCCGGGCUUCGCUUGCGCAGGAUAGGUGGGAGACUAUGAGACAUCCCUUGUGGGGGAUGUGGAGUCAUCAGUGAGAUACCACUCUGUCAAGGCUAGAAUUCUAACUCAUUGCCGUGAUCCGGCAUGGGAACAGUUUCAGGUGGGCAGUUUGACUGGGGCGGUCGCCUCCUAAACGAUAACGGAGGCGCACAAAGGUUCCCUCAGGCUGGUUGGAAAUCAGCCGAAGAGUGUAAAGGCACAAGGGAGCUUGACUGUGAGACUGACAAGUCGAGCAGGGUGGAAACACGGUCUUAGUGAUCCGACGGCACUGAGUGGAAGGGCCGUCGCUCAACGGAUAAAAGUUA